rnacentral:lncRNA from 1 species
UCUCUUCUAGGACUUGAUAGUUUUUUCCUGUCUCUGGUAAGUUUUUUUCUUGAUUUUUAUGUAAAUAUUCAUUGUAUAUUAUAUUACAUUCGAAUUCUUUCUUUUCUUUACUUUUAUUUUUACGUGUGUUGUGUCAACUUAUGCAUUUUCUAGAUAUGGCUGAUCCUGUGUGGGAUGUCGCUAUUUUACGAGACGUCAUGCGGGAACUGCAGAAGGAGGUUCAUGACCUGCAUUGAGAGUUGGCCGCCGUCAGAGUAAGGAUGUUGCGGGAGAUCCGCAGGCUGAGAAGGGCGUUGCUGCUGUCGGUUGAAGAUUGG